GCGGGAUGGAGCGGAGCCGGCUCGGCGGGUGGCAGGCAGCCUCAGCCGCCCGCUCGCCCCCACAGACCGAGCGCGGGGUCAGAGGGUUCCGGCUCACCGGGGCUCACACGCUCGGGGCGGGGGCGCAGGGGAGAACAACGCCGCGGGAGCGGCUGCGGUGGGAGCCCCGCACGGCCCCACGGCGGGGCAGGCCCCGCGCCUCGCUCCCAGCCCCAGAGGAAGCCCCCGCCUCGGCUGCAGGCGCCUUCAGCCAAGGAGGUGGGACCACUUCUGGCUCCUCCACCCCCAGCGCUCUGACGGAGGACACCCACAUCCAGGCCAGCCACCAGGCUCCGCUGAGCAAGGCUUUCUAGGCAAUUCCUUCGCCAACACCCCCACAUCCCCAGCGGCUGCCACUACCGGCCCCCCUCGUUCAGGGGGGAAAAAGGGGAACCCCUUCUCCCUCCCCAAAGCCCCUCCGCGGACGAGCCUCCACGCUAACGCAGCGCGGAAACCCAGGCUGUGCUCGCUCCUCCCCGCGCCCGCCGCCACCUUCCCCCACCCGACCCGACAGGGAGCCGGCAAGCCGAAAAUCCCUCCGUUGGCGGGCGAGGGACACCUGCCCCUAGCAUGGCGGAGGCCAGGGCACAGCUCCCCUCGCCGGCGCCAAGGCAGCCGUUCCGCCCCCCGGGGGUACGGCUCGGUAGGAAAGGUUUCUCACCGCUGAAGACCAUAGCAGCUGAAGCGCCCAUCACGGCGAAGAAGGAGGCGUACUCGGGGGUGCUGCCCGACGACAUGGCUCUGAGAUACAAACUGCCUGUUUCCUUGGAAUUUUUUGGUUUAUGAAGCUUUUUGCGAUUCUGCCUGUUCAAGUCAGGAAAAAGAAAGAACUGAAAGCCUCGACAAGACCUGGAAAUGGUUUGCCAAUGAAUGCAAUAAUAAAAAUAGCUGCUCUUGUU